rnacentral:rRNA from 1 species
GACGAACGCUGGCGGCGUGCUUAACACAUGCAAGUCGAACGGAAAGGCCCUGCUUUUGUGGGGUGCUCGAGUGGCGAACGGGUGAGUAACACGUGAGUAACCUGCCCUUGACUUUGGGAUAACUUCAGGAAACUGGGGCUAAUACCGGAUAUGAUCUCCUGCUGCAUGGUGGGGGUUGGAAAGUUUCGGCGGUGGUGGAUGGACUCGCGGCUUAUCAGCUUGUUGGUGGGGUAGUGGCGUACCAAGGCUUUGACGGGUAGCCGGCCUGAGAGGGUGACCGGCCACAAUGGGCCUGAGAGACGGACCAGAAUGCUACGGGAGGCAGCGGUGGAGAGUAUUGCAGAGUGGGCGGAAGCCUGAUGCAGCGACGCCGCGUGCGUAAUGACGGCCUUCGGGUUGUAAACAACUUUGGACUGUGACGAAGCGUGAGUGACGGUAAUGGGUAAAGAAGCACCGGCUAACUACGUG